GGAAGAAAAGUAAGGGCAAACGGCGGAUGCCUUGGCGCAAUGCAGCGAAGAAGGGCGCGGUAAGCUGCGAAAAUCUUCGGCGAGGAGCACACAUCCUCAGACCCGGAGGUACCCGAAUGGGGCAACCCGGCACCGGUAAUGCGGUGUCAUCUCUAAGGAGAGGCGCACGCGGGGAACUGAACCAUCUAAUUACCCGCAGGAAGAGAAAAUAAACAUAAUGAUUCCCGAAGUAGCGGCGAGCGAACCGGGAAGAGCCUAAAACAUAUGAAUGUAAUAGCUUACAGGCGUUAUUCAUAUGUGGUAGUGGGAUCGUAUGGGUGUUGCUGUAAAAACACCGGACUUAAGUUAACAACAUAGCCGAAUCAGGUGGGAAACUGAACCAUAGUGGGUGAGAGUCCUUUAGGCGAAAUGUAGUUAACGGUCUUUUACGACACCCGAGUAAGGCGGAUCACGAGGAAUUCUGUCUGAAUCCGGCUGGACCAUCAGCUAAGGCUAAAUAUGUAUUGCGACCGAUAGUGCAACAGUACCGUGAGGGAAAGGUGAAAAGAACCCUUGACAGGGAGUGAAAUAGAACCUGAAACCGUUUGUCUACAAGCAGUCGGAGUCUCUUUAUGGGACGACGGCGUGCCUUUUGCAUAAUGAGCCAGCGAGUUGUCGUUAGUUGCAAGGUUAAGCGGCGUAACCGCGGAGCCGAAGCGAAAGCGAGUCUGAAAAGGGCGUAUAGUAACUGAUGGCAGACCCGAAACCAGAUGAUCUAUCCAUGUCCAGGUUGAAGGUACUGUAAAAGGUACUGGAGGACCGAACCAGGUGAAGUUAAAAAUUCAUUGGAUGAGGUGUGGAUAGGGGUGAAAGGCUAAUCAAAUCUGGAGAUAGCUGGUUCUCCCCGAAAUAGCUUUAGGGCUAGCCUUGUGUAAAAUUAAGCGGGGGGUAGAGCACUGUCAAGACGAGGGCAGCAACCACUGUACCAACUCUUAGCAAACUGCGAAUACCCGACUUAAGUUUCACGGGAGUCAGCGCACGGGUGACAAGAUUCGUGCACAAAAGGGAAAGAACCCGGACCCACAGCUAAGGACCCGAAGUAAGUGUUAAGUGAAUAAGGAUGUAAGAUUGCACAGACAACCAGGAUGUUGGCUUAGAAGCAGCCAUCAUUUAAAGAGUGCGUAAUAGCCCACUGGUCAAGGAAUUUUGCGCCGAUAAUUCUCGGGACUAAACACUUCUCCGAAGCUUGGGACGCACACUUAGAGUGUGUUGUGGUAGGGGAGCGUUCUGUAAGCCGGUGAAGGUGUACCGCGAGGUAUGCUGGAGGUAUCAGAAAUGAGGAUGCUGGCAUGAGUAACGAUAAGCGGAGUUUAGAAUCUCCGCCACCGAAAGUCUAAGGAUUCCUACGCAACGCUCAACGGCGUAGGGUUAGUCGGGCCUAAGGCGAGGCCGAAAGGCGUAGUCGAUGGACAACAGGUUAAUAUUCCUGUACCGGCCGUGUAGUGUUAUAAAGUGAAGGAGUGACGCAGAAGUGACAUCGGAUCCGGGUGAUGGAUUAUCCGGUUCAAGGUUGUAGUGAGGUACGGCAGGCAAAUCCGCUGUAUCAAUCAUGAAAGCUGAAUACGAGCCGCAAGGCGAAGUCCGAGUAAGCAUGCUGCCAAGAAAACCUUCGUCACGAAUUACACAGCCGCCCGUACCGCAAACCGACACAGGUAGACGAGAUGAGUAUUCUAAGGUGCUCGAGAGAACUGCAGCUAAGGAACUCGGCAAAAUAACCCCGUAACUUAGGGAGAAGGGGUGCCUACUCCAGCGAUGGAGAGGCCGCAGAGAAAUGGCGCAUGCGACUGUUUAGCAAAAACACAGGACUAUGCAAACACGCAAGUGGAGAUAUAUGGUCUGACACCUGCCCGGUGCCGGAAGGUUAAGGGAACUUGUUAGGAGCAAUCCAAAGCAUCGAACCGAAGCCCCGGUAAACGGCGGCCGUAACUAUAACGGUCCUAAGGUAGCGAAAUUCCUUGUCAGGUAAGUUCUGACCCGCACGAAAGGCGUAACGAUCUGGACACUGUCUCAACGAGGGACUCGGCGAAAUUGUAAUACCCGUGAAGAUGCGGGUUACCUGCGACAGGCCA
rnacentral:rRNA from 1 species